CCCUGGCUCAGGACGAACGCUGGCGGCGUGCCUAAUACAUGCAAGUCGAGCGGAGUUAUUUUGAAAGCUUGCUUUCAAAAUAACUUAGCGGCGGACGGGUGAGUAACACGUAGGCAACCUGCCCUUCAGACUGGGAUAACUACCGGAAACGGUAGCUAAUACCGGAUAAUUUCUUUUUUCUCCUGAGAGAAGAAUGAAAGACGGAGCAAUCUGUCACUGAGGGAUGGGCCUGCGGCGCAUUAGCUAGUUGGUGGGGUAACGGCCCACCAAGGCGACGAUGCGUAGCCGACCUGAGAGGGUGAACGGCCACACUGGGACUGAGACACGGCCCAGACUCCUACGGGAGGCAGCAGUAGGGAAUCUUCCGCAAUGGGCGAAAGCCUGACGGAGCAACGCCGCGUGAGUGAUGAAGGUUUUCGGAUCGUAAAGCUCUGUUGCCAGGGAAGAACGUCCGGUAGAGUAACUGCUACCGGAGUGACGGUACCUGAGAAGAAAGCCCCGGC
rnacentral:rRNA from 1 species